rnacentral:ncRNA from 11 species
GUGCGGCCUGAAAAACAGUGCUGUGCCCUUGUAACUCAUCAUAAUAAUUUACGGCGCAGCCAAGAUUUCCCUGGUGUUGGCGCAGUAUUCGCGCACCCCGGUCUAGCCGGGGUCAUUUUUU